rnacentral:rRNA from 1 species
AUUGAACGCUGGCGGCAGGCCUAACACAUGCCAGUCGAGCGGAGCGGCGGACGGGUGAGUAAGGCCUAGGAAUCUGCAUGGUAGUGGGGGAUAACGUCCGGAAACGGGCGCUAAUACCGACAACUAUCAGAGGAAGCUAGGUCGGAAUAGCUAGGUGGUGGGGUAACGGCCUACCUGGGCUACGAUCCCGAACUCGUCUGAGAGGAUGAUCAGUCACACUGGAACUGUGACACGGUCCAGAUUCCUACGGGAGGCAGCAGUGGGGAAUAUUGGACAAGGGGCGAAAGCCUGAUCCAGCCAUGCCGCGUGUGUGAAGAAGGUCUUCGGAUUGUAAAGCACUUUAAGUUGGGAGGCGUUACCAACAGAAUAAGCACCGGCUAACUUCGUGCCAGCAGCCGCGGUAAUUC